rnacentral:rRNA from 1 species
AGUGAACGCUGGCGGUAGGCCUAACACAUGCAAGUCGAACGGCAGCACAGUAAGAGCUUGCUCUUACGGGUGGCGAGUGGCGGACGGGUGAGGAAUACAUCGGAAUCUACUUUUUCGUGGGGGAUAACGUAGGGAAACUUACGCUAAUACCGCAUACGACCUACGGGUGAAAGCAUGGGAUCUUCUGACCUUGCGCGAUUGAAUGAGCCGAUGUCGGAUUAGCUAGUUGGCGGGGUAAAGGCCCACCAAGGCGACGAUCCGUAGCUGGUCUGAGAGGAUGGUCAGCCACACUGGAACUGAGACACGGUCCAGACUCCUACGGGAGGCAGCAGUGGGGAAUAUUGGACAAUGGGCGCAAGCCUGAUCCAGCCAGACCGCGUGGGUGAAGAAGGCCUUCGGGUUGUAAAGCCCUUUUGUUGGGAAAGAAAAGCAGCAGGUUAAUACCCCGCUGUUCUGACGGUACCCAAAGAAUAAGCACCGGCUAACUUCGUG